rnacentral:lncRNA from 1 species
UUCUCUGCAGCAAAAAUAGGUCGUGCCACGCAUUACUUCUUUCGAAACUGCAGUCACUACAUGCGGGAGCUGAAACCGAAUCCAAGUGCUGAGCUUACUAACAAGUUUCUCCGGAGCCUUUGCGGAAUGUUGGACGCAUGCCACGAACGCUUUCCAAACUCUUCGUUCAAUGACACUAUUCCUUGCAUUCAAGAAGCCGCAUGGAGCCAGUGGGGGUCCAGUGACGCUGUGCCCAUGGAACAAAAACAAGUGGUUGAGAGAAUG